AGAGUUUGAUCAUGGCUCAGGACGAACGCUGGCGGCGUGCUUAACACAUGCAAGUCGAACGAUGAUCAGGAGCUUGCUCCUGUGAUUAGUGGCGAACGGGUGAGUAACACGUGAGUAACCUGCCCCUGACUCUGGGAUAAGCGUUGGAAACGACGUCUAAUACUGGAUAUGAUCACUGGCCGCAUGGUCUGGCGGUGGAAAGAUUUUUUGGUUGGGGAUGGACUCGCGGCCUAUCAGCUUGUUGGCGAGGUAAUGGCUCACCAAGGCGACGACGGGUAGCCGGCCUGAGAGGGUGACCGGCCACACUGGGACUGAGACACGGCCCAGACUCCUACGGGAGGCAGCAGUGGGGAAUAUUGCACAAUGGGCGAAAGCCUGAUGCAGCAACGCCGCGUGAGGGAUGACGGCCUUCGGGUUGUAAACCUCUUUUAGUAGGGAAGAAGCGAAAGUGACGGUACCUGCAGAAAAAGCACCGGCUAACUACGUGCCAGCAGCCGCGGUAAUACGUAGGGUGCAAGCGUUGUCCGGAAUUAUUGGGCGUAAAGAGCUCGUAGGCGGUUUGUCGCGUCUGCUGUGAAAUCCCGAGGCUCAACCUCGGGCUUGCAGUGGGUACGGGCAGACUAGAGUGCGGUAGGGGAGAUUGGAAUUCCUGGUGUAGCGGUGGAAUGCGCAGAUAUCAGGAGGAACACCGAUGGCGAAGGCAGAUCUCUGGGCCGUAACUGACGCUGA
rnacentral:rRNA from 1 species